AUGUACAUCCAGUUGAUAGGACUGGGUGGACUUCUCAGGACACCUAGCAUCAAAAUUAGACGUGUACUGUGCCUGGCCAUCGCUAAUUCAUAUGACACAGAGCAGGAUGCCUUUAUCAUCAAUGGGAUACCAUGUAGGAUCACACUAGAAGAUGUAGCGCAUAUAACAGACAUGCCCUGCCAUGGGAAGAAGCACGUCCCUUCAAAUCUGGAUGAUAAUAUGGAGUUGUGGAAGAAACUGAAAGACCGUAAUGACGCCAAAAUUACUUUCAAAGGAUUGCUAGCCAAGAUGAAAGUCGACAGGACACCAAAUUUUGUCAGGCAUUUGUCUUGUACACCAUAG
rnacentral:rRNA from 1 species